GGCUAUUAUAAGAUAGGACUUUCUUUUAAUAAAAAUAAACAUUUUGUAAUCACUGCCCACUCCUUUUCCUGGCAGAUUUGGUAUCUUUGUCCUGGUAAAUAGCAUCUCGGGAAAACAAUGAAAAUAAAGGCACCAAGGGAAGUGGAAGCACAGCCAUCUCUCUCCUUUCCCCUUCCCUGAGAUUUUAUAUAUGCUCUGCUUCAAAAACCAGUUUAAAAAUAAAAAAGACGAAGGCGGUUGCAAUCUGCCACACUUUAUGCAGAUGAGGUGUGGCCCUCAGGCACCUGCCAAACUGCUAAAAAGCCUUCCAUGGGCCUGGGAGGUGAUAACUCAGAUCCUUUUCCUUAGAACAGAAAGACUUUGUGCUUCCACAAGUACAUGUGGGUCAGGUCACAGGGGAGCCACGUCUGAGCAUGCGCUCGAGGCCCAGGGCCUCAUGGGCUGCCGCCCUCUGUUUUCCUUGCGUCUCCCUGAGGACAGUGAGGGUCCCAGAGGCGAGUAGGAUUGUGACCUCUCUGUGCUGUGGCUGUUUUGGUAGGCCAUUUUCUUGUCUAUUUCAAAUGCAAAAUGUGUGAAAAUACAUCUCUCUGAAACACAUCUGUAAGCCUUACAUUUGCAACAAUAAAUAUCUUUUAUUAUCCAGAAUGAAUGUUUCUAUAA
rnacentral:lncRNA from 1 species